GACAGAGGGUGCAAACGUUGUUCGGAAUUACUGGGCGUAAAGCGCGUGUAGGCGGCUUUGCAAGUCGGAUGUGAAAUCCCACGGCUCAACCGUGGAAGUGCAUUCGAAACUGCAAGGCUAGAGUUCUGGAGAGGAAGGUGGAAUGCUUGGUGUAGAGGUGAAAUUCGUAGAUAUCAAGCGGAACACCGGUGGCGAAGGCGGCCACCUGGACGGUAACUGACGCUGAGACGCGAAAGCGUGGGGAGCAAACAGG
rnacentral:rRNA from 1 species